UGGGGAAUAUUGCACAAUGGGCGCAAGCCUGAUGCAGCCAUGCCGCGUGUGUGAAGAAGGCCUUCGGGUUGUAAAGCACUUUCAGCGAGGAGGAAGGUGGUGAGCUUAAUACGCUCAUCAAUUGACGUUACUCGCAGAAGAAGCACCGGCUAACUCCGUGCCAGCAGCCGCGGUAAUACGGAGGGUGCAAGCGUUAAUCGGAAUUACUGGGCGUAAAGCGCACCAGGCGGUUUGUUAAAGUCAGAUGUGAAAUCCCCGGGCUCAACCUGGGAACUGCAUUUGAAACUGGCAAGCUAGAGUCUCGUAGAGGGGGGUAGAAUUCCAGGUGUAGCGGUGAAAUGCGUAGAGAUCUGGAGGAAUACCGGUGGCGAAGGCGGCCCCCCUGGACGAAGACUGACGCUCAGGUGCGAAAGCGUGGGGAGCAAAACAGGAUUAGAUACCCUGGU
rnacentral:rRNA from 1 species